rnacentral:rRNA from 1 species
GAUGAACGCUAGCGGCAGGCCUAAUACAUGCAAGUCGAACGAUACCAAGGGGCUUGCUCCUUGGAAAAGUGGCGCACGGGUGCGUAACGCGUAUGCAACCUACCUUUAUCAGGGGGAUAGCCCGGAGAAAUCCGGAUUAAUACCGCAUAAAAUCACAGGAUGGCAUUAUCCAAUGAUCAAACAUUUAUGGGAUAAAGAUGGGCAUGCGUGUCAUUAGCUAGUUGGCGGGGUAACGGCCCACCAAGGCGACGAUGACUAGGGGAUCUGAGAGGAUGGCCCCCCACACUGGUACUGAGACACGGACCAGACUCCUACGGGAGGCAGCAGUAAGGAAUAUUGGUCAAUGGGCGGAAGCCUGAACCAGCCAUGCCGCGUGCAGGAAGACUGCCCUAUGGGUUGUAAACUGCUUUUAUCCGGGAAUAAAGUUAGCCACGUGUGGUUAUUUGUAGGUACUGUAUGAAUAAGGACCGGCUAAUUCCGUGCCAGCAGCCGCCGUAA